UGUGGGAGCGAGCCUGCUCGCGAUGGCGGUGUGUCAGUCAGCAUCCCUGUUGGAUGUGCUGGCGUCAUCGCGAGCAGGCUCGCUCCCACA
rnacentral:misc_RNA from 1 species